UCUUCUCCUGAAUUGGACAUGACCUCUGAAAAGGAACAUUUCAUUCCAUUUGUCUUGCUUCGGUAGUUUACAACAAACCUUUGAACAGUGAGAAUCUUGUUUAUUUCUGGACACCUCUUUCUAUAAAAGGCUUUUCUCAGACUGGCACAAAGACUACUGAAAUCGGCCAUCCUGAAUCAUCUGGACAAAAUAUGAAAUUCAUUGGCAUAAUUGUUUCUUUCUUCAUUCUCUUCACCCUUACUGCUCUUCGGAAUGCAGGAGCUCAAGACUCUUGCUCACACCAGUGUGGGGAGCUGCUUAGUACCUGUUCUUGCGAGGUGACAUGCCAGUCCUUGGGGAACUGCUGCCCUGAUUAUAAAGAAUUUUGUCUUCAGAUUUCUCCAUACUCAGGAUCUCUGAUGGGAGGCAAAGACUUUUUGAUUGAAAAUACAGCUUUUAAUACCUCUUCUGUGCUAACAUGCAGGUUCAAGCAGGAAAUCAAAACCACUGGCUAUAUUGCUGAGGAUGGAAAAGGCCACUGCAUCUCCCCAUUGCUUUAUGAGACUGGUUUCAUCCCUUUUGAAGUUUCUGUAGAUGAUGGGAGGACGUUCCCCUACUCUGGAACUUGGCUAUCAGUACAUCACAGCAAGGUUUCAGAUGAAGAAAAAUGUACUUUGAUAAAUGAGACAAAAUGGCAAUACUACGGUACCCCCAACACUUAUGGAAACUUAACUCUUACCUGGACACAUCAGGCACUUGCAGAAACCCACGUCAACAUAGAAGUCUGGGGAUACCAUGAAACAGGUGACAGUUACUCAGAAAACUGGUUGGCUGAAUGGAAAUAUCUUUAUACUUUGGCCAGAGAAAUUCCCAAUACAGGGAAAUUUACUUUCACUCCUGCACCUGCUGAAGGAAAUUACAGUACCUGGGACUUCGGAAUUUUGAGGAUUACACCCAGCAGCUAUUCUGAUGGGCAGAGCAACAUUCCAUCACUCUGGAGCAAUGAGCAUGCAUUGGCUUGGCACCUCGGGGAAGAUUUCAGGAAUGACCCAAAUGCAUGGGCAACUGCAAAAUGUAUGGAAUGGGACAGAAAGGAAGAAAAGCUUCCAAACUUCAAGGAAGAAAUUAUAGACUGCCCUUGCACUUUGGCACAGGCAAGAGCUGACACUGGCAGGUUCCAUACGGAUUAUGGCUGUGACAUUGAGAAGGGGAGUGUGUGUACUUAUCACCCUGGGGCUGUGCACUGUGUGAGAGCCAUUCAAGCCAGUCCCCAGUAUGCAGCAGGACAGCAGUGUUGCUAUGACUCCACGGGAACACAGAUCCUCACACACGACUCCACGGGAGGCAGCACACCCGAUCGAGGCCAUGACUGGGGUUCACCACCUUUCCUGAAGCCUCCCCGGAUACCUGGCUUUUCCCAUUGGCUUUAUGAUGUUAUCAGCUUCUAUUACUGCUGCCUGUGGUCUGAUAAUUGUCAGUUCUAUAUGAAAAGGCGUCCCUCUAGUGACUGCAGGACGUAUCGCCCACCUCGAGCUGCAUCUGCUUUUGGGGAUCCUCAUUUCUUCACAUUUGAUGGUCUGAACUUCACCUUCAAUGGCCUGGGAGAAUACCUGUUGGUAGAGUCUGAUCUCACAUCCCUGAGAGUGCAAGGGAGGACACAGCAGGGACGCCUUCCCAGUGGAAGUGGAGCUCAGGGGACAGGCUUGUCUGCAGUGGCCAUGCAGGAGAACAACUCUGAUGUGAUUGAAGUACGGUACUCACAGGAUUUGAAUCUGGAGGUCCUGUUAAACCAAAAGGUUCUCAACUUCUCUGAACAAACCUGGAUGGACCUGAAAGGUCUCUUUCUAUAUUCUACACCUGAUCAGAACAUCACAGUGAUGUUCUCUUCUGGGUCUGGAGUGGAAAUACAGGGAAAUGGAGGAUUUCUGACCCUGACAGUUCUGCUCCCAGAGAAGUUCAUGAAUCACACACAGGGUCUCUUUGGGGUAAUGAAUGGCAAUACGGAGGAUGAAUACACCUUCAGGAAUAAAACCACCCUACCAGUUCAUGCAAGUCCCCAGCAGUUGUUUGAGUUUGGAGCUAACUGGGCUAUUGAGAAUGGAACUUCUCUCUUUACUUAUGACACAGAGUUCUUACUGAACAAUUUCUUUUAUGGGGAGAAGCACAAUGCUUCCUUCCUGCCUGUGUUCUUCCCUUAUGAAGACCCUGCUGAUCCCCUGGUAGAAGAGAUGGUCUCACUCUGUGGCUCUGACCCGUUCUGCAGAUUCGAUGUCCUGACAACAAGAAACCUUCAACUGGGAAAUUCCACAAGACUGUCUCAUCAGAAUCACAAGCUGCGGGUAGAACAUCUGGAGCCAGUGAUCUCUUGUGGCUGGCUGGACCAUCCAAUCAAUGGAACAAAGAAUGGAACUAACUACCUGCUGGGCUCAACCAUCACUUUCAUCUGCAGUCAGGGCUAUGAACUCACCGGGUCAAAGGAAAGAACUUGCCAAGCGUCGGGGGCCUGGUCUGGAGACACACCCAGUUGCAUCCAGAAAAUAGCUAUUGAACAACUAAUUCUUCUUGGCUGUGUAUUUGGAAUAGUCGGUGUUGCAGUCCUGGCACGUCUGACUUGUUUAUGUAGAAAGGAGAGACACAAAGGAAACCAGAAACUUGUUUCAGAAGUUCCAGUAGAAUAAGAGACAAUGAAAUUCCAGCGGAGUUUGUAAUGAAAUACAGAAAAAGCAAAGGCUUAAAUCAUCCACAGCAACAAAUAUCGACUUUCCAAACACAAACAAUGGUAUUUAGUAUGAUAUGAUUUGAUUUCUGCUAUCAAUAUAACGAGUAUUGAAUUGUAUGGGAAAUGCUAAUCAAAUUCUUGACGUUACAUCAUGGCAGGCUGAGCAAAAGACAAUGUUUCUGAAAGCAUCAAUCUUAGAAAUAU